UCAAACUCCUGGGAUCAAGGCAGCCUCCUUCUUCAGCCUCCCAAGUAGCUGGGCAAAUUCAUGUUUUUUUGUUUUGCAGUACUAGAGAUUGAACCCAGGUGUGCUCAACCACUGAGCUACAUCCCCAACCUUUUUUAUUGGUUUGUUUCUUUUGUAGUUUUGAGACAAGUUCUUGCUAAGCUGCUGAAGCUGGCCUCAAACUUCCAAUCCUCCUGCCUCAGUCUCCCAGUAGCCUGGCUAACUGCGUGUUUUCUGAAUGCACACUGUGUGCCAGAAGCAGCCUAUCAGGCCCACUUGGAAGAGUUUACCACCUGAUGAGGCACUCAUUGGUUGACUCCUCCCUCUGCCAGGGGAGUCCCAGGUCUGGUUCCACCAGCUGUUCAAGCCACUCCUCUUCCCUGUCUUGUUUCCCUGUUGUCGGGAGGAGCCAGGUGUGUGCAAGCUCUACCAUGACCUCUCUGUCUGCAUAUUGUCCUGGCUCCAGUUAGGCCACUUGUCAUACCUGGUCAAGAAAGGUCAAUGUGUGGUUUGUAGCCAAAGAAAAAAGAAGAGGACCUGCCAAACCAAAAUGGGGUACAAAAAGGGGGUCUAGGAAGGGCAUCUGUUCCCACAGGAGAGCCAACACCGGUGGGCACAAGCCCAACUCACACAUGUUUAAAAAUGACAAAAUGCUCUUUUAAAAAUUCCUAUUUCCAGACGAUCUUAAAUAAGAGGGUGGAUUCGUUCUCACAAGGUGUUUGGCCAUAAUAAAUCCUACUUUGAUCACAUGACUGAAGAUGUCACCACUUGGUAAUGGUAAUUAAAAGUUGUUAGUAUUUCAACCACUACAAUCAUAGUAAGUAACGUGUGUAAUGUUUUAAAUCAGGCUACAAGACAAUUUCACAGGUACAAUCACACAUAGACCUCACAGAAACCCUUGAGAAUGGGCUCUUUUCCUGAAGUUAGGGGGGCUAUUUUCAAAGUCAUUUUCUUCCACGGACCCACAGGACUUUGUCACGGUGCUUUGUCACCUAAUGGUCAUUCAGGGCACAAAGACUCCAAAAAUGACCAAGCUGUCUCCUCCCUCUCAUUAAAUAAACAAAAACUCACAUGUGUCAGAGGUACUUAAAAUGCUGUCAUACCCAAAUUAUUGGAGUACUUGCAUAAACUGAAGAACCCUUUGGUGAUAUAAAUCAUCACUAAUUAACAUAGAACAGGCAAUCCCCCACCCCCUUUUAAGGAUUGUGUCCCGAAAGUUUUUUGGUUAUUUCCAACACAGAAUGUCUUUCGUUAAAGAAAAACACAUAUUAAUUUCUAUGAUGGCUAGGCACCCUGGCCACCUCUUGUGCUCCAGAUCCUGAGGCCCCACACCUCCCAACAUCCUGCUGGAAGCCUCUGGACCUAGAGAACAUCCACAGUGCUCUUGAUGGCCUACCGCUUCAGGGCUACCCGCCACAAAGCCAGCAGCUCCACGUCAUAAUUCUAUCAAAUCAUCGUCUCCCCACUUUGGAAAAAGUGUUGUAGUUUGGAGCCUGAAGGUCCUGCAGAGGCGCAUAUUAUUGAGGAGUCGGUCCCCAGUGCAGCAAGGUCCAGAGCUGGGGCUUUGGUGAGAUGAUUGGAUCAUGAGGGCUCUGGCGUUAGUUAAUCUGCUAAUGGAGUCGUAAUCUGGUGACCCUAUUGGGAGCUGGUGGGGCCUAGUUUUGCAAGCCAGUCACUGAAGGUGUGUCCUGGAGAAGUUGAUCUUGUCCUUGACUGCUUCCUCCUUCCUCUCUGCUUCUGGCUUGCCAUGGGGUGAGCAGCUCUGUCCAUUUAUGCUCUCCCUGCCCUGAUGCUGUCCCUCACCACAGGCCCAUAGCAAUGGAGCAG
rnacentral:lncRNA from 1 species